rnacentral:rRNA from 1 species
UACGUGGGGUGCGAGCGUUAAUCGGAAUUACUGGGCGUAAAGCGUGCGCAGGCGGUUCGUUGUGUCGGCGGUGAAAGCCCCGGGCUUAACCUGGGAAUGGCCGUUGAAACUGGCGAACUGGAGUGUGGCAGAGGGGGGUGGAAUUCCGCGUGUAGCAGUGAAAUGCGUAGAGAUGCGGAGGAACACCGAUGGCGAAGGCAGCCCCCUGGGCUAACACUGACGCUCAGGCACGAAAGCGUGGGGAGCAAACAGG